rnacentral:rRNA from 1 species
UCAAGUUAUUAAGGGUGUAGGGCGGAUGCCUUGGCACUAGGAGCCGAUGAAAGACGUGAUAAGCUGCGAUAAGCUUCGGGGAGUGGCACAUACACUUUGAUCCGGAGAUUUCUGAAUGAGGAAACUCACUUGGAGUAAUGUCCAAGUAUCCAUAGGUGAAUACAUAGCCUAUGGAGGGGAACUCAGGGAACUGAAACAUCUAAGUACCUGAAGGAAGAGAAAGAAAUUCGAUUCCGCUAGUAGCGGCGAGCGAACGCGGAAGAGCCCAAACCAAGUCAGUUUACUGAUUUGGGGUUGCGGACAUAUCUUAAGGAAAGGUUAUUGCGAGUAGAAUAGGUCUGGAAAGAUCAACCACAGAGGGUAAAAGUCCCGUAUACAAAGCCAAGAAAGUUCUUGAUAUGAUCCAGAGUACCACGAGACACGUGAAACCUUGUGGGAAGCAGGGGGGACCACCCCCCAAGGCUAAAUACUACCUAGUGACCGAUAGCGAAUAGUACCGUGAGGGAAAGGUGAAAAGAACCCCGGGAGGGGAGUGAAAUAGAACCUGAAACCCUACACUUACAAGCUGUGGGAGCGCAUUAUUCGCGUGACCGCGUACUUUUUGUAGAACGGGCCAACGAGUUACGUUAUGUGGCAAGGUUAAGCACUUAAGGUGUGGAGCCGAAGCGAAAGCGAGUCUUAACUGGGCGCCAUAGUCACAUGACGUAGACCCGAAACCGGGCGACCUACCCAUGAGCAGGAUGAAGCGAAAGUAAAAUUUCGUGGAGGUCCGAACCCACGUACGUUGAAAAGUGCGGGGAUGACUUGUGGGUAGCGGUGAAAUUCCAAUCGAGCUCGGAGAUAGCUGGUUCUCCCCGAAAUAGCUUUAGGGCUAGCCUUGAAAUUUAGAGAUGUGGAGGUAGAGCACUGAAUGUCCUAGGGGGUAUUGCACUUACCGAAGACUAUCAAACUCCGAAUGCCAUUAUCUUUUGUUCAGGAGUCAGACUAUGGGUGAUAAGGUUCAUAGUCGAAAGGGAAAGAGCCCAGACCGUCAGCUAAGGUCCCUAAAUGUAUGUUAAGUGGUAAAGGAUGUGGGAUUGCACAGACAACCAGGAUGUUGGCUUAGAAGCAGCCACUCAUUUAAAGAGUGCGUAAUAGCUCACUGGUCGAGUGAUCCUGCGCCGAAGAUUUCCGGGGCUAAAACAUACUACCGAAGCUACGGCAUCAUAUGAUGAUGGGUAGGGGAGCUUCCCAUGCAGGCUGAAGCGAUACCGUAAGGAGUCGUGGACAGUAUGGGAGAGAGAAUGUUGGCAUGAGUAGCGAGAUGAGGGUGAGAAUCCCUCAGGCCGUAAACCCAAGGUUUCCAGGGGAAGGUUCGUCCUCCCUGGGUUAGUCGGGACCUAAGCUCAGGCCGAAAGGCGUAGGCGAUGGACAACAGGUUGAGAUUCCUGUACUACCGAUAAUCGUUUGAGAGAAGGGAUGACACAGUAGGAUAAGCUGAGCACACUGUUGGUUAUGUGUGUCUAAGCGUUGAGGCAGACUAGAUAGGCAAAUCCGUUUAGUUAAUGCUGGGGCGCGAUGGGGAGCGAAACUAAGUAGCGAAGCAGCUGAUUUCACACUGUCGAGAAAAGUCUCUAUCGAGAUUAAAGGUACCCGUACCGCAAACCGACACAGGUGGGUGAGGAGAGUAUCCUAAGGCCAGCGAGAGAACUGUUGUUAAGGAACUCGGCAAAAUGACCCCGUAACUUAGGGAUAAGGGGUGCCCCAGCAAUGGGGCCGCAGAGAAUUGGCCCAAGCGACUGUUUACCAAAAACAUAGGUUUCUGCUAAGUCGCAAGACGAUGUAUAGGAGCUGACGCCUGCCCGGUGCUGGAAGGUUAAGGGGAUCUGUUAGAGCAAUCGAAGCAGUGAUCUUAAGCCCCAGUAAACGGCGGCCGUAACUAUAACGGUCCUAAGGUAGCGAAAUUCCUUGUCGGGUAAGUUCCGACCCGCACGAA